UACAGAGGGGGCUAGCGUUAUUCGGAAUUAUUGGGCGUAAAGGGCGCGUAGGCGGCCAUGCGUGUCUUCCGUGAAAUCCCUCGGCUUAACUGAAGACGUGCGGAAGAAACUGCAAGGCUCGAGUCCGGGAGAGGGGGGUGGAAUUCCCAGUGUAGCGGUGAAAUGCGUAGAUAUUGGGAGGAACACCGGUGGCGAAGGCGGGUCUCUGGGCCGAUACUGACGCUGAGGAGCGAAAGCGUGGGGAGCGAACAGG
rnacentral:rRNA from 1 species